UACGUAGGGUGCAAGCGUUGUCCGGAAUUAUUGGGCGUAAAGAGCUCGUAGGCGGUCUGUCGCGUCGGCUGUGAAAUCCCGAGGCUCAACCUCGGGUCUGCAGUCGAUACGGGCAAACUAGAGUAUUGCAGGGGAGACUGGAAUUCCUGGUGUAGCGGUGAAAUGCGCAGAUAUCAGGAAGAACACCCGUGGCGAAGGCGGCUCUCUGGAACGCAACUGACGCUGAGACGCGAAAGCGUGGGGAGCAAACAGG
rnacentral:rRNA from 1 species